GAAUUAGGGUUAAGAUUUUAGGGGUGAAACCACAAAAGUUUAUAGGUAGAUUUGAGAGGUUGGAGAUGUGAUAAUGCGGCUCAAAACACAUACUGUUCAUAUCUCAUGUUGGGAUAGGACUAUUACCUCAGAAACUCAUCCUAUGGAAGUUAGGUUUCGAGGUGACAGUGCUUGAUACGAUCACGGUCGAAGUCUAAGUAGAG
rnacentral:lncRNA from 1 species